rnacentral:rRNA from 1 species
GAUGAACGCUAGCGGGAGGCCUAACACAUGCAAGCCGAGCGGUAUGGAUAGCUUGCUAUCCAGAGAGCGGCGUACGGGUGCGUAACACGUGUGCAACCUACCUUUAUCUGGGGGAUAGCCUUUCGAAAGGAAGAUUAAUACCCCAUAAUAUAAUGAUUGGCAUCAAUUAUUAUUGAAAACUCCGGUGGAUAGAGAUGGGCACGCGCAAGAUUAGAUAGUUGGUGAGGUAACGGCUCACCAAGUCAAUGAUCUUUAGGGGUCCUGAGAGGGAGAUCCCCCACACUGGUACUGAGACACGGACCAGACUCCUACGGGAGGCAGCAGUGAGGAAUAUUGGACAAUGGGUGAGAGCCUGAUCCAGCCAUCCCGCGUGAAGGAUGACGGUCCUAUGGAUUGUAAACUUCUUUUGUACAGGGAUAAACCUACCCUCGUGAGGGUAGCUGAAGGUACUGUACGAAUAAGCACCGGCUAACUCCGU